UUCACUUACAAAGUUACAACAGCAGCCAACGGCCCAACACAGUCACAGAAAGAAAAAAAAAUAUAUAUAUAUAUAUACGCAGAAGGAACAAGCAGGGAGAAGAAAGAAGAAGAAAGAAGAAGAAAGAAAAAAAAAAAAAAAAUUAACUUACAAAGAGCUAUCGAAGUGAAGUUUGUCGAAGGAGAUGCUGCCGGCGAAGGAGAUGACGCCGAAGUCUGUCGAAGGUGUCGCCGGAUGUCACCGAAGGCUCGCCGAAGGCUGUCGAAGUCUGUCGAAGGCUCGCCGAAGGCUGUCGAAGAAGAUGGCGAUGCCGCCUGAUGUCGCCGGUUGUCGCCGAAGUCUGUCGGAGGAGAAGAGAAGUCGCCGGAGGAUGAUCGUCGCCUCGUCGGACGUUGGGGCUUGGGGUUUUGAGUUUUGGAGG